rnacentral:rRNA from 1 species
CAUUACAAGUGAGGCUACCGAACGUUGGAAACAGCGGUUAGGAGCUUACACCCACCCGUGUUUACAUACUAUUGUUGCUUUGGCGGGCCGUGGCCUCCACUGCGGGCUCUGCUCGUGUGUGCCCGCCAGAGAACCAAACUCUGAAUGUUAGUGAUGUCUGAGUACUAUCUAAUAGUUAAAACUUUCAACAACGGAUCUCUUGGUUCUGGCAUCGAUGAAGAACGCAGCGAAAUGCGAUAAGUAAUGUGAAUUGCAGAAUUCAGUGAAUCAUCGAAUCUUUGAACGCACAUUGCGCCCUGUGGUAUUCCGCAGGGCAUGCCUGUUCGAGCGUCAUUUAACCACUCACGCCUAGCGUGGAGUUGGGGCACGCGGUCUCCGCGGCCCUCAAAAUCAGUGGCGGCGCCGGUGGGCUCUAAGCGUAGUACAUACUCCCGCUAUAGAGUUCCCCCCGGUGGCUCGCCAGAACCCCCAAUUUUUUACAGGUUG